CCCUGAUUUCACAUUGAUAGUAAAUGACAAAUUGGAGCAACUCUGUUAAAACAUAAUUCUGAACAGACUGUGAGGCAUAUGCUAGCACAAAGUAAAAAAGGCCCAGGUCACAGCAAGUGGAGUGCACCAGGUCGAGGCUCCUCUGCACCUGAUCCAGAGGCCUGCCCUAGUUGUCGAGGUACGGAAACAGGUGGACUCCCCAACGUCUGAGAACCGGGGACAUAGAAGUGCAACCUGGACACUGUAUGCAGCCCUCUACAGUAUGUAACUCUGAAACUGAAGUUUAUACAUGUGACCCUUCUGCCAGCAGCUAAACCACAGCAUAACAGAAAAAGGAUGCAAUCAGCUACUUCAGUUUGCUCGUAUUGUUAUCGUGAAUUAACAAAGACAAAGCUUAUGAAAAGCUCCUGAUCCUGUCCUAUCCAGGUUUCAACACAGAAAUGGCACUCAUACUUCAGAACAACAGACAGAAAUCAAUUAUCCACACUAACACAGCUAGAUUACUGAUUGCCUUCAACACCCUUGACAAUGAAGUAUUGCCAACCUGCUAGGUGGAAUCACACUGAACUGGUUCCACUCAUUCCUCCUGGAUAGGUCCCCAACGGGUGGCAAUGAGCACCUCGUCUUCUUCUACCAGGUCCUACCCUAAAGAGACUAUCAGGCUCAGUCCUGUCCUCUCCAUCUAGUUCAACAAUCCAGCCACUGCAAGAGACUGAGAGAUGUACUGUGGACUCCAAUACCUUCAAUAUGCAGAAGAUACUCAAUCUUUACUUCUCCAUAAAAAAAAUGAAGACUCUUUCCUUAAGGACUCAAAUGCCUGACAGGGAAACACGAUGAAUAGCAAAAGGCUCAAGCUAAACCCAGAUAUAAAACAAUCCAGAUGCUGCUGAUCUUUACCACUUUAAACUAUACUACCGGUAAUCUUCAGUGCCCAGCCUUUGAUUCUUGUUUAUAUUAUGCUUGUCUGCCUUUAAAAGGAUUUGUUCCUAACUUUGUCUUCACUUUUUCCUGCUAUAAAUCGAAUAUGCUCAGUGAAAUGGAAAAAAAUUAUCCGUGAAGGCAAUUAUUUCUAAUAGACUAAAUGAGGGUCCAUAAUCUGCAAUGCUUCAUGUUAGCGCUAAUUUAAUCUGUAAUAUUUUCCCUUCAUAUUAGCCUUUGUGACUGUGUUCCUGUCGAAUACUAUUUAGACCAAAAAUCUCUAUUUCCAAAUUUCUUAAUUGUCACAUUUUUUUAUGAAGCGGACUCAGUUUCUCCUCACAAUGCAUCAAUACUUCAUAGGUAAUAAGAUAUCAAUU